CCUACGGGUGGCAGCAGUGGGGAAUAUUGCACAAUGGGCGCAAGCCUGAUGCAGCCAUGCCGCGUGUGUGAAGAAGGCCUUCGGGUUGUAAAGCACUUUCAGCGGGGAGGAAGGCGGUGAGGUUAAUAACCUCAUCGAUUGACGUUACCCGCAGAAGAAGCACCGGCUAACUCCGUGCCAGCAGCCGCGGUAAUACGGAGGGUGCAAGCGUUAAUCGGAAUUACUGGGCGUAAAGCGCACGCAGGCGGUCUGUCAAGUCGGAUGUGAAAUCCCCGGGCUCAACCUGGGAACUGCAUUCGAAACUGGCAGGCUAGAGUCUUGUAGAGGGGGGUAGAAUUCCAGGUGUAGCGGUGAAAUGCGUAGAGAUCUGGAGGAAUACCGGUGGCGAAGGCGGCCCCCUGGACAAAGACUGACGCUCAGGUGCGAAAGCGUGGGGAGCAAACAGGAUUAGAUACCCUGAUAGUC
rnacentral:rRNA from 1 species